AGCCUUCUGUAUCUGUACUGAGAUUUUGUUACACACUAGACCACAAGGGCUGAUGAGACUCCCAGGUACUAGUACCU
rfam:Schistosoma mansoni strain Puerto Rico chromosome 2, complete genome